GGAUCACUGGUUUAAAGGUGCGUAGGCGGAAUAGUAAGUCAAUGGUGAAAGCNGCAGCUCACUGCAGAAUUGCCAUGAAACUGCUAUUCUUGAGUAUAGUCGAGGGGGCGGAAUGCGUAAUGUAGCGGUGAAAUGCAUAGAUAUUACGCAGAACACCAAUUGCGAAAGCAGCUUCCUAGACUAUUACUGACGCUGAGGCACGAAAGCGUGGGGAGCGAACAGGGUUAGAUACCNUGGUAGUCCACGCUGUAAACGAUGCUCACUCGCUGUUGGCGAUAUAUUGUCAGCGGUUAAGCAAAAGCUUUAAGUGAGCCACCUGGGAAGUACGUCCGCAAGGAUGAAACUCAAAGGAAUUGACGGGGGCCCGCACAACCGGUGGAACAUGUGGUUCAAUUCGAUGAUACGCGAGGAACCUUACCUGGGCUUAAAUGUAGAUUGACUUCCGCCGAAAGGUGGAUUUCCUUCGGGACAAACUACAAGGUGCUGCACGGCUGUCGUCAGCUCGUGCCGUGAGGUAUCGGGUUAAGUCCCAUAACGAGCGCAACCCCUAUCGCCAGUUGCCAGCACAUAAUGGUGGGAACUCUGGUGAAACUGCCGGUGCAAACCGUGAGGAAGGUGGGGAUGACGUCAAAUCAGCACGGCCCUUAUGUCCAGGGCUACACACGUGUUACAAUGGUCGGUACAACAGGAUGCCAAUCCGCAAGGAUGAGCUAAUCCCAAAAGCCGAUCUUAGUUCGGAUCGGAGUCUGCAAUUCGACUCCGUGAAGUUGGAUUCGCUAGUAAUCGCAGAUCAGCCAUGCUGCGGUGAAUACGUUCCCGGGCCUUGUACACACCGCCCGUCAAGCCAUGGAAGCCGGGGGUGCCUGAAGUCCGUAACCGUAAGGAGCGGCCCAGGGUAAAACCGGUAACUGGGGCUAAGUCGUAACAAGGUAGCCAAG
rnacentral:rRNA from 1 species